GUUGCUGGUAUUCACAAACUAUGCCCAUUGUACCCACACAAUCAAGAGGUAUCACUGAAUGAAAUGAGAAGCCCUUCUGAAUUACUAGAAUUUGGGAAAUUCUCUAAUUGCAUGGAUUAUAGUACUGGAGUUGGGGCUUCUCCUCUUCAUGUUGCAAAUCCCGCAUUUGACUAUGUGCCUCCAGAGCUUGUUAGCCUUCUCAUCACUGAUGUAGGAGGGCAUAACCCGUCAUAUAUGUAUCGGCUAAUUGCUGAUUAUUAUUCCGCUGAUGAUUAUUUCUUGCAAGAGAAGCAUGAUUCUUGAAGGCACUUCAAGGAGGAGGAAAAUUUAAAAUUGGAAAAGCGGCUGUGGAGGUCAAAUGUUGCGAAGAAAGUGGUAUGUCUCGCCGAGAAUCAUACCGAAAAUCAAUCGUUUACGUUUCAAUUUUUACUAGAUAAAAUAUCUUGAAGAAUACCUAUAGUAUUCAUGUUUUAGUUAGUAGACAUGAGGGUAGUUUGUAGUUGAAAUCCUGAAGCUGCAAGCCUGAUUGCAGUCCAAAGUGAUAGCAUGAUUAUGUGACUAUCUUGAACUAGAUGCUUUAUUUUGUCUAUAAAUGCAUAAUUACAC